CCGUGUGAUACUGAUGUCUCACCUUCUCUCCCAUAUGUUAUCUUCAAGUUUUAGUUUUUCUUUUUUCAUCUCUCUUAAAUUAUUUAGAUAGAGUAAAAACUACUUGGUUGGAAUAUUGGACGUUAUUAAGGUUAGUUUUAUAUAUCUAUAUACUGACUAUAUAUACCCAUAUAAGAUACUCGUAUGAUCUCUUAUCAUCUUUUCUUCUUUAAGGUCCAAAGGAAUUGUUUUUAUCUCUUGUUUUGAAUUUCUUUAGAAAUAAUACUUCCUAAUUAUUAAGUACAUGUUAAAACUGACAACAUUAUAUUAUUGGCAUCGUUUUAUAAUUAUUCCAUGUCUUUUGAUUUAUAAAUUUUGGAUCCACGUUUAGUUUGCUUUAAAACUGUGACGUUCUCACUUCCAGAGCAAUCGUUAUUAUUAGCUAGUAACAAUGAAUACAAUUUGUAGUUUAGAAAAAUACAGGUCGAUGAUUAUUUCUUAGCUAGCAUAUAAAACAUCUAUGAGAUUCCGACCAAGAAGUAAUCAUUACGAUUCUAUAAAUUAGAUUUGUUUCCGUUAUCGAUUUAUGCUUUAAGUACGUAGGUUAUCUGAUCAGCAAUAACAUUCAAAGGAAAGAUGACAACAAUUUAGCCUUCGUAGGACAACACAACAUGAGCACUUUACAUAGCCUUUGUAAUUUUUAGCCAAUUUGACGUGGGUUUCGGACUCUUGAUCGACAUUAAUCAUCACCAUGCUAAAGGUCAGAAUAGUGACAUCAAAACGGACAGUCACGCCAGCAAGCGGAUCGGGCGAGACAAAGAAGAAUAUUGUUGCGAAUAUGACAUACGAAAUAGGUAUAAUUAAGCAAAGGGUGUGGAAUAAAACAAAAUUCUUCUGAGAUUAUAUUAACUUAAGCAUUGGAAUUGUUCUUGAAAUAGAAGUUGUAUUGAUUGAUAAAACUAAUUUAUUAAAUUCUUCAUAUUUAAAAUAUUUCAAAUUAAAAAACCACACUCACACACAUAUACUUAAAUGGCCCAUGUACACAAAAUAUAAGUUUCGAAGAAAAAAAAAAAACGUCAACCAUUCUUAGCACAAAAAUUGUUGAAUGGGUCAUAAAUAUACGCACUUCAUCCACUAUGUUCUGAGUGCUCCAUUGAAGGCCUAAAUAGCUUCAUAUCUUUUAGACGUUGUAAAAAAAAGAAAAAAACUUCGUAUGGACAUAAGAUUUGGGGAAUCGUUAUUAUAUAUCAUUAGGCAUAUCAUAUUCUAUGAUAUAUACGUGUAUAUAAUUUCAGUUGCGUGAUCUUUAUUGUAAUUAUAGUAGAUAUAAACGAUUAAUGGUUAAAGUUUAAUCAAUAAUUAGAUAAACAAUGUUAGAUAAUGGAAACUAAAGUGAGGAAAAAGACGAGGGCACUAACAUGUAAAUGCUGGAAGAGGAAUAUCAUCGAACAAAAACAACAACAACACAGCUCAAUCCUCAAAAUACAAAUAUAAGUAACAUUUUUUUGUGUGUGCAUGUUUGCAUCAUAUAUACGUACAUUUUUGCAUAUUGCGAAUAUCUCACACAAAAAGACAGAAGCAUUUACUCUUAUAUAGCUGCUAUUUUCCCUUACAAAAUUAUUAUUACGAAUUACUUCUGUAAAACCGCGGCAGUACUCUAGUUAUAAUAUAUUGUAAUAUGUCAAAAAUAUCACAUCAUAUUUCUAGUAGUCCUCUUGGACCAUUAAUUACUAAUUAGAACUAUUUCAUUCUCCACUAAAAAUUUUUCUUCCGUACAAGCGAAUAUGUUACUAACAUAGUGCUCUUGGCUUAUGUGUUAGAACUUUACUAAUAUGGUGCUAUUGGCUUAACAUU
rnacentral:misc_RNA from 1 species